rnacentral:rRNA from 1 species
AUGGACAAUAACACGUUUGCGGAGGCGCACAUCAGGGCUGCUUUCUACCCCAAAUUUGAGAACGAGAAGUCCGAUCAAGAGACAAGAAAACAGAUGAUUGAGAUGGUGUCGCGUGGCUUUGCUACCAUGGAGGUUACGCUGAAGCAUUCAGGAUCUCUAUUCAUGUAUGCUGGUCACCAUGGAGCAUAUUCCAAGAAUAGCUUUGGAAAUAUCUACACUGCUGUGGGCGUUUUUGUCCUGGACCGUAUGUUUCAUGAAGCUUGGGGAAAGGAAGCUCCUCAAAUGCAAGCCGAAUUUAAUGAUUAUCUCCAGAAAAACCGGAUAAACAUUUCAAUGGAGCUUGUAACGGCUGAAUUAGGAGACCAUGGGCAAAGGCCAAAGGAUGAUUAUGCCGUGGUUACAGCUGUAACAGAGUUGGGUCAUGGCAAACCAAAGUUCUAUUCUACUCCAGACGUGAUUGCCUUUUGUCGAAAAUGGCGCCUAUCGACAAAUCAUGUCUGGCUAUUUUCCACAAGGAAAUCUGCCACUUCUUUUUUCGUUGCCUAUGAUGCAUUGUGUGAAGUGGGGACUGCCACACCAGUUUGCGAAGCCCUUGACAAAAUAGCUGAUAUAUCUGUACCAGGGUCCAAGGAUCAUUUAAAGGUACAGGGUGAGAUACUUGAAGGUCUGGUUGCCCGUAUUGUUAGUCAUCAAAGUUCAGAUCAAAUGAAAGAAGUCUUGAGAAGCCUCUCACAGGCUCCAUUACAUGGAGUGGACUCUGAUUUAGGACCAAGUUUACGUGAAAUAUGUGCCGCUAAUAGGUCAGAUGAAAAGCAGAAAUUAAAGCACUUCUUGAAAAUGUCGGAUCUUCAAUGUGUCCAGACCACUCUGAUUGGUUUGGAAACAGUAGUCUUGAUGCUCAGUCUCAAAACGCUGAUAAAUCGCUUGUCACUUACUUUUUGGAAGCACAUCCUACAGACUAUGCAACUAAGAAAUUGCAGGAGAUGUUUCGUUUGA